rnacentral:rRNA from 1 species
UACGUAGGCAGCAAGCGUUGUUCGGAAUUACUGGGCGUAAAGAGUGUGUAGGUGGUGAACUAAGUCUGUCGUGAAAUCUCCCGGCUUAACUGGGAGGGUGCGGCGGAAACUGGCUCGCUAGAGUAUGGGAGAGGUAAGCGGGAAUUCCUGGUGUAGCGGUGAAAUGCGUAGAUAUCAGGAGGAACACCUGGUGGUGUAGACAGCUUACUGGACCAUUACUGACACUGAGACACGAAAGCGUGGGUAGCAAACAGG